GACGAACGCUGGCGGCGUGCCUAAUACAUGCAAGUCGUACGCUUAUUUUUCCACCGGAGCUUGCUCCACCGGAAAAAGAAGAGUGGCGAACGGGUGAGUAACACGUGGGUAACCUGCCCAUCAGAAGGGGAUAACACUUGGAAACAGGUGCUAAUACCGUAUAACAAUCGAAACCGCAUGGUUUUGAUUUGAAGGGCGCUUUCGGGUGUCGCUGAUGGAUGGACCCGCGGUGCAUUAGCUAGUUGGUGAGGUAACGGCUCACCAAGGCCACGAUGCAUAGCCGACCUGAGAGGGUGAUCGGCCACAUUGGGACUGAGACACGGCCCAAACUCCUACGGGAGGCAGCAGUAGGGAAUCUUCGGCAAUGGACGAAAGUCUGACCGAGCAACGCCGCGUGAGUGAAGAAGGUUUUCGGAUCGUAAAACUCUGUUGUUAGAGAAGAACAAGGAUGAGAGUAACUGUUCAUCCCUUGACGGUAUCUAACCAGAAAGCCACGGCUAACUACGUGCCAGCAGCCGCGGUAAUACGUAGGUGGCAAGCGUUGUCCGGAUUUAUUGGGCGUAAAGCGAGCGCAGGCGGUUUCUUAAGUCUGAUGUGAAAGCCCCCGGCUCAACCGGGGAGGGUCAUUGGAAACUGGGAGACUUGAGUGCAGAAGAGGAGAGUGGAAUUCCAUGUGUAGCGGUGAAAUGCGUAGAUAUAUGGAGGAACACCAGUGGCGAAGGCGGCUCUCUGGUCUGUAACUGACGCUGAGGCUCGAAAGCGUGGGGAGCAAACAGGAUUAGAUACCCUGGUAGUCCACGCCGUAAACGAUGAGUGCUAAGUGUUGGAGGGUUUCCGCCCUUCAGUGCUGCAGCUAACGCAUUAAGCACUCCGCCUGGGGAGUACGACCGCAAGGUUGAAACUCAAAGGAAUUGACGGGGGCCCGCACAAGCGGUGGAGCAUGUGGUUUAAUUCGAAGCAACGCGAAGAACCUUACCAGGUCUUGACAUCCUUUGACCACUCUAGAGAUAGAGCUUCCCCUUCGGGGGCAAAGUGACAGGUGGUGCAUGGUUGUCGUCCGCUCGUGUCGUGAGAUGUUGGGUUAAGUCCCGCAACGAGCGCAACCCUUAUUGUUAGUUGCCAUCAUUUAGUUGGGCACUCUAGCAAGACUGCCGGUGACAAACCGGAGGAAGGUGGGGAUGACGUCAAAUCAUCAUGCCCCUUAUGACCUGGGCUACACACGUGCUACAAUGGGAAGUACAACGAGUCGCGAAGUCGCGAGGCUAAGCUAAUCUCUUAAAGCUUCUCUCAGUUCGGAUUGUAGGCUGCAACUCGCCUACAUGAAGCCGGAAUCGCUAGUAAUCGCGGAUCAGCACGCUGCGGUGAAUACGUUCCCGGGCCUUGUACACACCGCCCGUCACACCACGAGAGUUUGUAACACCCGAAGUCGGUGAGGUAACCUUUUGGAGCCAGCCGCCUAAGGUGGGAUAGAUGAUUGGGGUG
rnacentral:rRNA from 1 species